rnacentral:rRNA from 1 species
CGGGUGAGUAACACGUGGAUAACCUACCUAUAAGACUGGGAUAACUUCUGGAAACCGGAGCUAAUACCGGAUAAUAUAUUGAACCGCAUGGUUCAAUGGUGAAAGACGGUUUUGCUGUCACUUAUAGAUGGAUCCGCGCCGCAUUAGCUAGUUGGUAAGGUAACGGCUUACCAAGGCAACGAUGCGUAGCCGACCUGAGAGGGUGAUCGGCCACACUGGAACUGAGACACGGUCCAGACUCCUACGGGAGGCAGCAGCA